CCUCAAGUUGGCGAGCAGAGUCCUCCUCUGGACUGAACCAGUCCCAAGAUUCUUAAGGGGUUGAGGUAGUGACCCAAGAUCUAAGAGAACUGGAAUUCGGUGGAUUCUUUACCAUCUGAGCCAGCAGGGAAGCCUUGGGAUAGAUAUGUCUAGGCUUAAAAACAGAUUGUAUGAACCAAGAAAAGAGAAUGUGAAAACUGAUUUUUAUCUCAGGUAGAGAGACUGAUUUGAAGAACUACACGUAGCCACAAUACCUGUAAGUUUCACACUGCUAAAUUUUUUUUCUAAGCCUGAAAUCAUUAAUAUCUCUGUAAACAAUGAUGGGAAGUGGCUUUGUCUU
rnacentral:lncRNA from 1 species